CUGAAUGUGACCAGCUGCAGUGGCCCUGGGCUUACGGGAGACAAGGUCCUGCUCCACGCAGGGGCCCUUUGCAGCAGAUUGACAGCAGUGGACAUAAGCUGGUCUGGGGCCACAGACGUGGGCGUGAUGGCCCUUAUACAGGGAGCUUCAAGCCUUCAAGGACUCUCCAUUAAUGGAUGCCAGGUUACAGACAAAGCCAUUAAAGCCUUAGUUAAAAAGCAUGGAAACAGUCUUCACAAAAUAGAAGUAUUUGGCUGCCUUGCUCUCACUCCCAGGAGUAUAGGUUCCCUGGCCC